UACGGAGGGUGCGAGCGUUGUCCGGAAUCAUUGGGCGUAAAGGGCGCGUAGGUGGCCCGGUAAGCGUGCGGUGAAAGCUUGGGGCUCAACCCCGAGUCGGCCGUGCGAACUGCUGGGCUUGAGCACUGUAGAGGCAGGCGGAAUUCCGGGUGGAGUGGUGAAAUGCGUAGAGAUCCGGAGGAACACCAGAGGCGAAGGCGGCCUGCUGGGCUGCACCUGACGCUGAGCCGCGAAAGCCAGGGGAGCGAACGGG
rnacentral:rRNA from 1 species